UACAUGCAAAGAGGCCGACUCACUGAAGCAGCUCCCCCAGAAACCGAGUCAGCUAGUGAGCCAUUUACCUCCAGUUGGUGUUAGUCACAGCCGUUCACAUGGGACGCUUGUCAGUCCAGAGCUCAGCCACUGCACCGCCUCUGUGGCCUCCAUGCGUGGCGGGACAGUACGGGACGGCUUCCCGUUCUCUGAGUGACUUGAAGCCCUGACACCAACACACCAGGAUGGGACUAUCAGAUGAAGAUCAGAGCAGGAGAACGUGCAAGAGACUGGAUUGGAGAGCAACAGGGUGAAAGCAACUUUUGCCUGUGAGUGGGAUCAUCCCAUAUUCAUCCUUCUCUUUCUGCCUGAUCUCACUUCAUAUGAUUCCUCCA